UGGGGAAUAUUGCACAAUGGGCGAAAGCCUGAUGCAGCGACGCCGCGUGAGGGAUGACGGCCUUCGGGUUGUAAACCUCUUUCAGCAGGGAAGAAGCGAAAGUGACGGUACCUGCAGAAGAAGCGCCGGCUAACUACGUGCCAGCAGCCGCGGUAAUACGUAGGGCGCAAGCGUUGUCCGGAAUUAUUGGGCGUAAAGAGCUCGUAGGCGGUUAGUCGCGUCUGCUGUGAAAAACUCGAGGCUCAACCUCGGGCUUGCAGUGGGUACGGGCUGACUAGAGUGCGGUAGGGGUGACUGGAAUUCCUGGUGUAGCGGUGGAAUGCGCAGAUAUCAGGAGGAACACCGAUGGCGAAGGCAGGUCACUGGGCCGCAACUGACGCUGAGGAGCGAAAGC
rnacentral:rRNA from 1 species